GAUUGGAUUGGCCGGCCUUCAAAGGGAGGGAUUACCAUAGAGCCGCGAGCUGAAAGUAACCCAGCGCUGACGGGCCAGAUCGCAGCCAAAUGACAAAUUACAGCUGGUCUGGUUAGGUCUGUGGGCCAAGAGAAAUAGUGCGUGCGUGCGUGUCUUGGUGCUGCAGCAGACAGAUGAAAGCUCCUAGAAGCUGGCUGAGCUCUCGCUCCAUUAUACAGACGAGUGCCUCUAUUCUCUCCCUGUCUCCACACGCACACGCACACACUCCCAGAGUUGAAGUCCGCAUGACUCCGCUGCCCUCUGUCUCCUCACGCCUCCAGGACAAAGACAUCAACACACACACACACACACUUCUAAUCUCUCACACGCAAGCAGGCGUGCCCUUCAAAGCCAAAGGAACUGGAGCAGACGAGACAAAGAUGGACACGGUGGCUGUAAAGACACGAGCGGGCGUGCGAGUGUCUCCUGUGGCUGCAAGAGAAAGUCAUUAGGAGCUUUGAAGAUGAAUGUACAGCAUCAUCGACGAGGGACUUGUGUGGCUCUGCGAGGACACAAAGGACAGCGGCUGAAACCACUGAGUGGAAAAAAAGAACAACAAAAUCUGUGGGCCAUCCAUGAUCCCAGUUAUUAGGCAAUGGAGUGACUCUGGAAUCAGAGGAGGAGAUGUCAUGCUCUGGCUGGAGCUCCACAGGCCACAGAGAUGACACAUGGACAAACACCAUGCCAGCGACAUGAUGACAUGAUGGGGCCUUAAUGAUAGUUCUUAGCACCUCAUUCGCUUCAGGGCUGUCAAGUCACAAAGGGUCAUAUGUCUAGCAAUGUUUCCACAAACAACUCUAACAGGAAAACUGGUGAUAUUGUUUUUCAUGACUGAAAACGGGUAAUCAGUCCAAUCAGAAAAAGUCCCCUUUUCCUUAUUUGUUCAAUUUAACUCUGCUUUUAUUUGACAGCAAAAUGUUGACUGACUCCUAGAAAAUUAGCAUCUAAAUUUGUAUUUGGAAAAAAUGGAUUUGCUCACCAACCACUUCAGCAGGUACAUCUUACUAGCUCUGGGCUGGACCCCAUUUGAGUGACACCCAGUGCAUACCUUUGGUUGUAAUGAGUGGUUAUGUGAGUUACUGUUUCCCUCCUAUCAGCUCGAACCAGCUUGGCCAUUCUUUUCUGACCUCUGACAUCGUUUCUCAAAGAGAACUAUCACUCACUGACUAUUUUCUCUUUUUCACACCAUAAUAUGGAAACCCUUGAGAUGGUGAAAAUCCCAGUAGAUCUGCAGUUUCUGAAAUACUCAGAUAAACCUUUUUGGCUGGUUUUUAAUUUUCACCUUGAAAAAACAAAAGCCCACCUUUCACUUUUUUGUGGACCAAAGUCUGUAUAUAAAAGAUGGACAUAGAAACUGUGAAUGGACCCAGUUUUUAUGAACUGCUGUUUUCAAGCCUCCAAUUAAGCACUUUGUGUCCUCAUCACUACUGAAUGUUAAGCAAUGGGUGCAUCUGACAAGAAACUAAGGGAUGUACGGUGGCCAUAAGAGGUCAAACACACUGCAACUUAAUAAAAUACCAGCAAAUAGAGAAAUGUUGCAAAAGUCACCAAAUGCCAUUGAAGUUUAAUUAAACAACAGAAAUAGACAAAAACAGACAAAAAAUAUAUAAUACAUUUUAAAUGCAAUUAAAACACACGGUACCUGAAUCUUUCUCACCCUCAGAGCACAGAUGAACCCUCCACUGGUUGCAUGGUUGUCAUCCGUUGUCAGAUGUGGGCAGUGUCAAAAACCUGUGGUAUGAGUGGUCUGUGGGCUACUUUUGCUUGUGCUGGUGUUUGUCCAUCAGCCACAGAGAAGACAGAAGUUAUUAGACACAAACAAGUGAAGUGAAACUAUGUAUUAAAAAAGUAUCCACUGCAGCCACUGUCUGUGCUUUUUGUGUAUUUUUAAAUCUUUGCUAUGUUUUUGUGCAUUCUUUGUUUUGACAUAACUAUACCUCUAUACAUGCUAUCAAAAAUUCAUUUUUAGCUGUUCCAUAAUGCUUCUUCUUCUACAAUAAUUACAUGAUUUAGAAGUGUUAGUUAUAUGUUGAUUUUUUGAAGCCUUUGUUUGUUAAAUCCUAGUGAAUAUAUGAAAUUCUAAUAUAUAGUGUUAUACCUUUGCGAUCUGCAGUGAAAUAAGCAAAAUCUUUCCUAAAACUUAGUCUUAAAUGCGUUUUUUUUAAGAUAAAUUUUGCAGUUCUUGACACUGUAUUCGGAAGAUUUUUUGCAUGUGUUCUUCUGUAACUUUCACUCCUCUGUCCAGUGAACCACAAUCCUCUCACCCUUGACAAUAAGGUGUAUUUUGCUUCUUUUCUAUGUGUGUGUAGAGGAUGCUUUCCAGCAUCUCCAGCCAUUAAAAAAAAAAAAAUCUGUCUGGGCUGCAACCCAACACUUCCAAACGGGGCCAGUUGGGUAGCUCUGGGUCUCUGCCAGACCCUCACGCCGGAUCUCUCCAUCACGGCCUCCCCUCCCUCCUCCGUCUUUGGUAUUGGGGUCACGUUUCCCUUCAUUGACAGGAAAGACUUCUUUAGAGGGCGGAUUAAAAGGCCUCCAAAGCGAUUCUGAUAGGAGGUGUCUGGCAGCCGAUGUUGCUGGCUGAUAUGUCACAGCACUCAGGAGUGGAGAGGAGAUGUGGGGGGAGACAGAACAGGAAACUGCUGAUUGGCUUUGACCGGGUGCACAGGUGUGUGCGUGCGUGUAGCCUUCUGCACGCACGUGUGUUGCAAAAGGGCAUUUUGCGCUGACCGAAGAUGAAAGGAUAACUGUCGUUAGUCUUCUCUUGUGAUGGCUGAUUAGAGUGAUGCAAUCGUCUGCAAGAAAGGCCCACAACAACAUAUGAUCAAACCUGCAUCGAUAUACAGAUGUGAAGAUCAGAGGACACGAGCACACACCCACACACACAGCAACUGUCCGCAUCUCAAAUCAUGAAACAUAUCCGUUGACGUCAUCCAAUUUUUGGAAAAGAACACUCCACCUUACUGUCAAUUGCCAGAUCACCAGCUGGCUCAUCUCAAGUACUCUUUGUUAGAUCUGGGAGAGUAAUGAGGGUGUGUGUGUGUGUCUGUGUGUGUGCAGAUUGCGGUGGUUGGGGUGGUACUCUAAUGGCAGAUGAGUGACCCAGUCAGAAAAGGUCAGCAACACUACAGGGCUGAUGUGGCGAGGCACCCUCCACUCACUGACUAAUUAAAUGUCAGUGCUUCAGACUGGAUAGAGAAGAGAAGCUGGAGGGGGAGGACGAUGGGGGCAGAGUGGGGUUUGGGAGGAAAACACAGGAGAGAGUGGCAGAUAGGUAGACAGGGAACGGACCUCGUUGUAAAUGUCACAUGUUACAUAAGGCUGGGCUCUUUGGCAGCAGAGAGUUUAGGACUUAAAAAAAGAAAAAGAGAAACACUUUUGGACAGAUGGUUUCUGAAUGUUGGAGAUUUUUCGAGUGGCGAGCUGCAAAAUGACUAGUUUUAUUUUUAUUUCUGUCACCAUGUUAGCUCUGUGUACUCAUUACAUACGCAGACUUUAUAUAAAAGAUGGCUGCACCUUCUGGCUCAGGAAAGUGAGCUUCUUUCUUCCUAUCUUCUUUGUAAUGGCAGGGGAUUGUUGUAGAGAUGUAUAGAAGUCUAUGAUAAUUAUUAUCUUAGUAGAUCAUUUGGUCUGAAUUGUAAGUUAUUAUUUAUUCAUUACUAUUAUCAUUAUUAUUAUUAUUAUUAUUAUUGUUCAUUCAAUUUUAUUUUAAUAUAACAUGAUGUUCCUUUUGUAAAUGAUGGUUAAUACUGGAGUCAAAAAAGACAAAACAGGCUCUGAUUUUAGGGUUGACGUCUGAGUUAGAUCCAUCGGUUUUCAUGUCCGACUUUAGAUCACUGAGAAGACGAUGGUGAAAAUGCUGAGUUUGAGGUGUCAUAACGGAGCAUCUUUAAAGUAAUGAGUGACAUUAUGACUAUCUGCCUAAUAUUGCAUUUUUCUGCCAAAACAGCACUGACCCAUGGAGGCAUGGACUCCUACAGACCCCUGUAGGUGUGCUGUGGUACAUGGACCAAGAUGUUAACAGCAGAUCUGUCACGGCCGGGAUGGCCGGUGUGUUUAUGAAGGGCACCCAAAAGCAGAGACGGGAGACAUGAACUUGCUGUUUAAAGAAAAGACGAGCUUUUAUUACAGCUGAUAACAUGAAUCCAAAAACAAGGCAAAACGAACAGUGGAGAAAACUAAAACCUAAACUGGAAAAAACUAGAUGAUAAUAACUAUGACCAAGAGAGACAUGAGUCUGAGCAGAAGCUAUGAGACAAAACAUGAACAUGUCCUUAACAGAAUCAUGAAACACUUGAAACCUGACGUGACA